rnacentral:lncRNA from 1 species
GCACUUUAUUUAUUAUGUAUCAAAUUAUAGAAUUUGCCUAAAUGAGCUUAUUUAUUAUGUUAUUAAUUAAAACUGAUCUAGGUUCUAUCGAAAUUUCGACAGCGUCUCCCCUAAAAAUAGGAUUAUCUGCCUGUUUAAAUGUCACAAUAACAUUAUAUAUAUUUAUCAAUCAAUACACACAGCCCAUCCGUCGGGCAAUCAAUCAAUUUAAUUCCCAACCUCCUUUCAAAACAACCAUGUCAACAUUCACCAAUUAAUUUACAAAUUAUAAUAACCUCCAACAUGUUCAAAUGAUAUUGUUAAUUGUCCUCUAACUAAUUAUCAAAUAAAUGUACACUUUAUAAAUAAAACGUGCAUCGAUAAGUUAAAUUCAACUAUUCUCGUUUGAUAGUUACUUAGCCUCUAUUCAUUAUAAACUCCCCGUCGAGCCUUUACUUCAUCAUCCUUGCUUAAGGUAUAAACCACAU